GCCGCGCUCCAGGUAACGCGCUGCGGAGCCGGGCGGCAGCCGCGGGCGCCGCCGCCGCGGCAGCCUCGGCAGCCCCGGCCCGGGCGCUCGCACCGUUAAGCAGUCACCUCCUUCCCCCCGCCGCGGGAAGGGCGGCCGCGGGCAGGCCGCCGUGUCGCGCGGCGGCGGUUGGCGGGCGGCGGUUGACGGUUGGCGGUUGGCGGUUGACCGUUGGCGACUGGCGGUUGGCGGCCGCGCGGGGCCGAGGCCGAGAGAGGCCGCGCGCGGCGGGAGCAGAGGAGGCUGCCGGCCGGGCCGCGUCCCGCGCGCAGGUGCGGUUAAGGCUGCAGGCGAUCGGCGGGAAGAGCGAGCUGCGCCGGCCGCGGGCGAGAGCCCCCGCGCCCCUUCCUGCGGCCGUGGCCCUGCGGGGCCCCCAGUGGGCAGCCCGCCUCGGCCGUUGCCGCGGUGCGUGUGGUCCCGGGGGAGCGUCGGCCUUCGCAGGACGGUCUUGUGAUGGCGGAAGUUGGACUCUUUGGCGGGUCUGGGACUUUUUUGUUUGGUUUGGUUUUUGGUUUUUUUGACCUUACCGCCCGAGGUCGGGCCGGACUGGGUCUGACGGUGGUGAACGCCUCGAUGCGGAAGGCGGCUCGUGGCGGAGGGAUGAAGUGCCGGGAGACGACAGCCGUGCUCGGAGCCGUGUGGGGGCGGGAGCCUGGGGGUCUCCCCCGUCGGCGGCGGACGGCGCGCAAGAAAACUGGAAGGCUGGAACAAGGUGUUUGUUGAGCAGGGUCCUCUCACACACAGGUGAAGCAGGUAACUGACGGGGACGUUACGUCGUCACACUUCAACCCUGUCACGCUUCAGCCCAGUAGUGUGUCCUUCGCCUGAAGACCUAAGUGCUGCUGUAACGGACAGACUCAGGUUAUGUGGGCAGCAUCUACUGCAGCCUUUUUCUGAUGCGGGGAAAGAGGGCUUAAGCCCCCAGAUCAGAAUUCCCUCGGUGUACACAUGAGCUGACAGUUGUUCCUGAGGCUGCAGUGGAUGCCUGAGCCGGGCUGGCCUUCCCAGAGCUCAGUGGAGGCCCAGGCCUAAGGGGCUGUGACUGGGGGGUGGGAAUGGCCCAGCCGGGGUUGGCCACUGAGACUGCUGCUCACUGCUCCUCUUCUCCUUGCCUGCUGGACAGGCAUCCCAGCUGCUUCUCAGUCAGCUCCUGAACCAUCGUGAUUUACAGUGCAUCAUUUUAAAGGAAUCUGAAAUAGUUUUUCCACGUGUUGAUCACAUCCCUGAGAGCUUCAAAUCUGUUUGCACAGGUUAUAAGGCUGUUGAGAGUUUUAAAAAAAUCAAAAAAAUUCCAUAGGUCUAAAAUACUGCAUUGAAAUAAUAAGCAUUCCAAAACCAAUGAAGAGUGUGCCUCUUUUUGCUCUAACAAUUUGCCCUAAAAUAGGUGCGAGUGUUCCAGCAUGCGGAAAGUGAAGGAUGGUGUAUAAACAAUUGCUUGUUUACUUUUCCCACACUCAGGAACCAGAGUAAAUGCAGCCCAAAGAAUCCUUAGAAACACUUUCUAGUCAGGGCAACAGGAACUGGAAAACAAAGCUUUGGACAUUAUUGUCCUGUUCGCUUAAAAUCAAUGCAAUUAUCCCUUAAAAUAGGUCAAUACUGUAAUCAAAUAGGAAGGUACUUAAGGAAUCACAGCAAAUGGAAAGGGCUGCUUUCCGGAUCUGUUGGGAAAGAGGGUGACGUUGAUAGCCCCUGGGCUGUUGCUCAGUUAUCCUUUCCGCUGCCCUCAGAAGCAAGCAAAUGUUAUUUUACUUGAAGGGCAUAAGAUAAACAGAAUUGUCUGGUGGCACAAAAGGAACCAGUGUUGGAGCCAGGAGAUCUCUGCUGUGCCUUGUUCUAUUGACAGGUCACCAGACCAUGUGUCUGUCUCUUUCUGUCUAACCUUUGUCAGCUUUGGUUUUACAGAGAGGUGUAGUGGUGUCACUUUCUGCUAUUUGUUGUUGUUCUCUUUUGAAGUAGAGGAGUAUUUUGGAAGAAGACACUCCAACUGAUUUUCUUCCCCUGGAUAUGUAACAUAAAGGUAGCACAUAACCUUACUCCACUAGGCUUUCUGGGCAAUGUAGGAUCAGAGCUUGCUGGCAUAACCUUGCCCUUUCUAAUUGCCUGGGUUUGGUUCUUUAGUGCUCUGGAGCUUCAAGAACAUUUAGUACAUGACUAGGGGAAGACCCCAGUUCUAGAUCCCCCGCAGCUGCUUCAUCAGCCUGUCCUAUCUGGUUCGUCAUCUCAGUGAUACCGUGUUUAUACAAUGCACAUACCCUGCAUGCACUUACAAGCCUGCUUUAUCUAUACUCACACUCAGACUCUGCCGUGAAAGUAGAUUUAGCUAUUCCUCUCCCACUGGAAAGACUUCCUGACACCCAGGGGGAUGUGGUAACUACUCUGCCUCGUUCUGCCUUGGCGUCCUUGGACCGCUGGGCCUAGGAAUCGAGCUCACGAUGCAUCAGUUCAACAUACUGGCUCCAAGUUCCUUUGCAUCUUGUUUUUCUUUUGCAGUAUCAAUGUUACUUCUGUGCAUUAUUACACUGCCUAAUCCAGUAUUGAUUUUUUUUCUUUUUUUUAAUGCAGAUUGGAAUUACUGGGUAUUAUCUGUUGUAGCUGUACUCCAUGGCUGUGGCAUAUGCCACUUUAUAACCCUACCUUUGUUUCUGAGUCCCUUGUUUAAGAAACAUCCAUGUUUUCUCAAUUCAUUCAGGAUGCUGAAAGUCUUACUGUAUCAUGCCUUAGACGCUGUGUGUAAAUAGGAGUUGCACUGCAGUUUUGCUUCCUUCUGAGCAACUGUCUCAGAAUAAACAUAUUUAUUACAUUUAUGUUUUUCUCUAAA